UUGAUUAUUUAAUCGUUUUCUCAGACUGCACGGUUGUCAGGAUUCGGUACUCAGGCGGGCACGGGCCAGCCGCGAGGCCGACAUCCCCCUGCGGAGAUGGCCCACCGAAGCUGCUUGACAGCUUAUAAUUAGACAAGGAUGGGAGCAGAGGGGUUUUGGGCCUCUGGACUCGGUAAUGAUCCUUCCGCAGGUUCACCUACGGAAA
rnacentral:misc_RNA from 1 species